GAUGAACGCUAGCUACAGGCUUAACACAUGCAAGUCGAGGGACCGGCGCACGGGUGAGUAACACGUAUCCAACCUGCCCUUUACUCGUGAAUAGCCUUUCGAAAGAAAGAUUAAUACCCGAUGUCAAGGAUGGGGAUGCGUUCCAUUAGGUUGUUGGUGAGGUAACGGCCCACCAAGCCUUCGAUGGAUAGGGGUUCUGAGAGGAAGCACCCCGGCAUUGGAACUGAGACAAGGUCCAAACGCGUACGAGAGGCAGCAGUGAGGAAGAAUUGGAAAUGGGCGCUAGCCUGAAACAGCCAAGUAGCGUGAAGGAUUAACGUUUAUGGGUCGUAAAUUUCUGUUAAAGAAGAAGAUGUAUUAUAUGAAUAAGGAACGGCUAACUCCGUGCCAGCAGCCGCGGUAAUUC
rnacentral:rRNA from 1 species